GCCCAACAGCUAGCCCACCCUGUAAUUCCAACACCCAUUAUUAAUACCCCCAAAAACUCUCCAAACCAAUAAACAAAACAUUUUUCCUCCCCAGUACGGGCGACAGAAAAGGAACUAGGAGCUAUAGAGAAAGUACCGCAAGGGAAAGCUGAAAGAGAAAUGAAACAACCCAGUAAAGCCUAAAAAAGCAGAGACAAGACCUCGUACUUU
rnacentral:rRNA from 1 species